rnacentral:lncRNA from 1 species
AUAUGAUUCUUUGUGAACUCAUAGCAUCGUUGUCACUGUCAUCACAAUCAUCACUGCCAUCACCAUUGUCACCAUCAUCAUUACAGUCACCACUGUUGUCAAGAUGGUCACUGCCAUCACCAUCAUCACCAGAAUCAUCACCAUCAUCACCGCUAUUACUUUCAACACUACCAUUGUCACCACCAUCAUCACCAUCAUCAUCUCAAUCGUGACCAUCAUCACCAUCAUCAUCAUAUACUCUUGUAUUCCCAGUAACACCAAUCUGAGCACCUAUGCCUGGCUGCCAAGCACAGUACUGCAGGGGUCCACACCUGGACGUCGACCAGGAAGCCUUGUUGCUGGAGCCAGGAGGCUCUCAGACAGCACCUGUGUGCAGCUGGUUGGAGCAUACAGAGCUGGUCACCUCACAGACAUCUGA